AUUGAACGCUGGCGGCAGGCCUAACACAUGCAAGUCGAGCGAACGGCGGACGGGUGAGUAAUGUAUGGGGAUCUGCCCGAUCGAGGGGGAUAACUACUGGAAACGGUGGCUAAUACCGCAUACUAUCGGAUGAACCCAUAUGGGAUUAGCUAGUUGGUGGGGUAAAGGCUCACCUAGGCGACGCUCCCUAGCUGGUCUGAGAGGAUGACCAGCCAAACGGGACCUGAGACACGGUCCAGACUCCUACGGGAGGCAGAAGGGGGGAAUAUUGCGCAAUGGGGGCAACCCUGAUGCAGCCAUGCGGCGUGUAUGAAGAAGGCCUUAGGGUUGUAAAGUACUUUCAGCGGGGAGGCGUUACCCGCAGAAGAAGCACCGGCUAACUCCGUGCCAGCAGCCGCGGUAAUAC
rnacentral:rRNA from 1 species